GCUUACGACCAAAUCACCCCAAGUGUGCCCAAUCUCGUCAGAUCUUGGAAACUAAGCAGAGUUGAGAUUGAGUCUUAUUUGGAUGGGUGACCACUCGGGCUUGCCAGGUGUUGCAGGUA
rnacentral:rRNA from 1 species